GUCGGGCUGGUGACAAGCUGUAUACGGUAGGUACUCACUAUCAGCUGCUGAAGCUGUGGUGCGCCCUGCUGUAACGCUGAGGAGAAUCCUGAUCAGUGCAGGAACUCCUCAGCAGCAUCUGCUGUGCUCCGAUUGGCUGAGUGACACAUCACACACAGUCACUCAGCCAAUCAGAGCACAGACACCCCCCACCCACACACAGACCAGCAACUACUCGGGCAGCAGGCUGAAGAAUGAAUGAUAUUGCAGCCAGGAACUCAACACAGGAGAGAUGGUAUGGUAUCAGGAUCUUUGUGAUGGCAGCGGUCAGAAUACAGACAUCACCCUUACAUGCCAAAUCCUGACACCUGGAAGCACACUUACGUUCGGGAGCCAGCAGUCGGGAUUCCAGUGCCGGCAUUUUUAUCCAUGUGGGGAUCCCGCACCAGCAUUCUGACCAAUGUUGGUAUUCCGGCAUCAGCAUUCCAAAUGCCGAUAUCCUGA